AGUCGACGGUAACAGGAAAUAGCUUGCUAUUUUGCUGACGAGUGGCGCCCUUGUGCGUAACGCGUAUACAAUCUACCUUUUGCUGAGGGAUAGCCCAGAGAAAUUUGGAUUAAUACCUCAUGGUAUUAUUGAUAGGCAUCUAUUAAUAAUUAAAGGUUACGGCAAAAGAUGAGUAUGCGUCCCAUUAGCUAGUUGGUGAAGUAACGGUUCACCAAGGCAACGAUGGGUAGGGGUCCUGAGAGGGAGAUCCCCCACACUGGUACUGAGACACGGACCAGACUCCUACGGGAGGCAGCAGUGAGGAAUAUUGGACAAUGGGCGAGAGCCUGAUCCAGCCAUGCCGCGUGCAGGAAGACUGCCCUAUGGGUUGUAAACUGCUUUUAUACAGGAAGAAUAAGCCUUACGUGUAAGGUGAUGACGGUACUGUAAGAAUAAGGACCGGCUAACUCCGUGCCAGCAGCCGCGGUAAUACGGAGGGUCCGAGCGUUAUCCGGAAUUAUUGGGUUUAAAGGGUCCGUAGGCGGAUGAUUAAGUCAGGGGUGAAAGUUUGCAGCUCAACUGUAAAAUUGCCUUUGAUACUGGUCAUCUUGAGUUGUAUUGAAGUAGGCGGAAUAUGUAGUGUAGCGGUGAAAUGCAUAGAUAUUACAUAGAACACCAAUUGCGAAGGCAGCUUACUAAGUACUAACUGACGCUGAUGGACGAAAGCGUGGGUAGCGAACAGGAUUAGAUACCCUGGUAGUCCACGCCGUAAACGAUGGAUACUAGCUGUUCGGGACCUUGAGUUCUGAGCGGCUAAGCGAAAGUGAUAAGUAUCCCACCUGGGGAGUACG
rnacentral:rRNA from 1 species